CUGACUGAGUGCCAGCAGCCGCGGUAAUACNUAGGUGGCAAGCGUUGUCCGGAUUUAUUGGGCNUAAAGGGAACNCAGGCGGUCCUUUAANUCNGAUGUGAAANCCUUCGGCUUAACUGAAGAAUUGCAUUGGAAACUGGAGGACUUGANUGCAGAAGAGGANAGUGGAACUCNAUGUGUANCGGUGAAAUGCUUAGAUAUAUGGAAGAACACCAGUGGCGAAAGCGGCUCUCUGGUCUGUAACUGACGCUGAGGUUCGAAAGUGUGGGUAGCAAACAGGAUUAGAUACCCUGGUAGUCCACACCGUAAACGAUGAAUGCUAAGUGUUGGAGGGUUUCCGCCCUUCAGUGCUGCAGCUAACGCAAUAAGCAUUCCGCCUGGGGAGUACGACCGCAAGGUUGAAACUCAAAGGAAUUGACGGGGGCCCGCACAAGCGGUGGAGCAUGUGGUUUAAUUCGAAGCAACGCGAAGAACCUUACC
rnacentral:rRNA from 1 species